rnacentral:sRNA from 1 species
GAUUUCCAUCGCUAGCUUGCGGCGAAUCGCCCUUGUGGAUCCUUGAGGCGAUGCCCUAAUCGCGCUUUGCAAUGCGGGCGGAUGUACAUGCGGCGGCUUCAAGGGGCGACGGUUGGAGGAGCAGCGGUGCCCGCAGGUGGUACCUCAUUUGGUAGUGCGCCGAGGGGUGAGACGAAAGUGAUGCAACUGCAAGCGGAUCGCUCGCCUCCUCCAAUCCUCGCAUAAAUCAACAGACCAUUUACCUUCAGAAGCUGGGGUCAUCUCUACACUGACUUCACUAGUUUUGUUAAGCAAUUCCCCAUCCCAUGGAGAACCAGGAAACAGAGUAAUAGCUCAAGGUCCAGGCAUGUCAUCAAGGGUUUGACAUCAUGACUCAAAUUGUUGGUGGCAUGUCAUUUCAGAGCGCUACAGCAAUCCCAGGAUGACAAAAUGAUCCAUUUAUUGAUGCUUAGCAACUCUGCUGGGGGCAUACCGUAUGAUUCCUCGUGAAGUGGAGUGGAUCAUGACGGUAUUGAAUUUUGAUUUCUCCUUGCUGCUUGACUUGUGUAAGAAGGCCCAGCCUAUGCAGCCGUGCGAGGUUUUGUAGGCCUUGGUUAGAACAUAGAAAUGGGCAGCGUCGUGCCCUUAGUUCAUAUAUACUAGUUUCUAAGAAAUUCAUAUAUAAGGAGUUUUCGCGAAAUCGCACCGUUUGAUAGACCAAAAGGCAUGGCGUUGGAUGGAAUAGUUGCAUUCCUUAGAAAAGGAUGCACCCUGUCUUUCAUCCUUUUUCCGAAAAAUAUUCUUCCUGUUUCUUAAUGUAUAAGGAUCAAAGGCGUCCUUCUUAUGGC